GACGAACGCUGGCGGCGUGCUUAACACAUGCAAGUCGAACGGAAAGGCCCUGCUUUUGUGGGGUGCUCGAGUGGCGAACGGGUGAGUAACACGUGAGUAACCUGCCCUUGACUUUGGGAUAACUUCAGGAAACUGGGGCUAAUACCGGAUAGGAGCUCCUGCUGCAUGGUGGGGGUUGGAAAGUUUCGGCGGUUGGGGAUGGACUCGCGGCUUAUCAGCUUGUUGGUGGGGUAGUGGCUUACCAAGGCUUUGACGGGUAGCCGGCCUGAGAGGGUGACCGGCCACAUUGGGACUGAGAUACGGCCCAGACUCCUACGGGAGGCAGCAGUGGGGAAUAUUGCACAAUGGGCGGAAGCCUGAUGCAGCAACGCCGCGUGCGGGAUGACGGCCUUCGGGUUGUAAACCGCUUUCGCCUGUGACGAAGCGUGAGUGACGGUAAUGGGUAAAGAAGCACCGGCUAACUACGUGCCAGCAGCCGCGGUGAUACGUAGGGUGCGAGCGUUGUCCGGAUUUAUUGGGCGUAAAGGGCUCGUAGGUGGUUGAUCGCGUCGGAAGUGUAAUCUUGGGGCUUAACCCUGAGCGUGCUUUCGAUACGGGUUGACUUGAGGAAGGUAGGGGAGAAUGGAAUUCCUGGUGGAGCGGUGGAAUGCGCAGAUAUCAGGAGGAACACCAGUGGCGAAGGCGGUUCUCUGGGCCUUUCCUGACGCUGAGGAGCGAAAGCGUGGGGAGCGAACAGGCUUAGAUACCCUGGUAGUCCACGCUGUAAACGGUGGGUACUAGGUGUGGGGUCCAUUCCACGGGUUCCGUGCCGUAGCUAACGCUUUAGGUACCCCGCCUGGGGAGUACGGCCGCAAGGCUAAAACUCAAAGGAAUUGACAGGGCCCCGCACAAGCGGCGGAGCAUGCGGAUUAAUUCGAUGCAACGCGUAGAACCUUACCUGGGUUUGACAUGGAUCGGGAGUGCUCAGAGAUGGGUGUGCCUCUUUUGGGGUCGGUUCACAGGUGGUGCAUGGCUGUCGUCAGCUCGUGUCGUGAGAUGUUGGGUUAAGUCCCGCAACGAGCGCAACCCUUGUUCACUGUUGCCAGCACGUUAUGGUGGGGACUCAGUGGAGACCGCCGGGGUCAACUCGGAGGAAGGUGGGGAUGACGUCAAGUCAUCAUGCCCCUUAUGUCCAGGGCUUCACGCAUGCUACAAUGGCUGGUACAGAGAGUGGCGAGCCUGUGAGGGUGAGCGAAUCUCGGAAAGCCGGUCUCAGUUCGGAUUGGGGUCUGCAACUCGACCUCAUGAAGUCGGAGUCGCUAGUAAUCGCAGAUCAGCAACGCUGCGGUGAAUACGUUCCCGGGGCU
rnacentral:rRNA from 1 species